CUGGGUGUAGCUCAGCCUGUGUAGAGCGCCUGGCCUGGGACCAGGAGGACGGGGGUUCAAAUCCCUCCACCUUGA
rnacentral:tRNA from 1 species